AGUGAACGCUGGCGGCGUGCUUAACACAUGCAAGUCGAACGAGAACGGGUUAUAGCUUGCUAUAGUUGUCAGCUAAGUGGCGCACGGGUGAGUAAUGUAUAGGUAAUAUGCCUCUUACUAAGGGAUAACAAAUGGAAACGUUUGCUAAUACCUUAUACUCCUUAUUAACAGAAGUUAAUAAGGGAAAGAUUUAUUGGUAAGAGAUUAGCCUGUAUUGUAUCAGUUAGUUGGUGGGGUAAUGGCCUACCAAGACUAUGACACAUAACUGGUUUGAGAGGAUGAUCAGUCACACUGGAACUGAGACACGGUCCAGACUCCUACGGGAGGCAGCAGUGGGGAAUAUUGCACAAUGGACGAAAGUCUGAUGCAGCAACGCCGCGUGGAGGAUGACACAUUUCGGUGCGUAACCUCCUUUUAUAUGAGAAGAUAAUGACGGUAUUAUAUGAAUAAGCACCGGCUAACUCCGUGCCAGCCGCCGCCGUAA
rnacentral:rRNA from 1 species